GCGCAGGUGGCGGAGCGGUUCAUCGCGCCGGCCUGUAGAGCCGGAGUCCUUCGGGACGAUCGGGGGUUCGAAUCCCUCCCUGCGCA
rnacentral:tRNA from 1 species